rnacentral:rRNA from 1 species
GACGAACGCUGGCGGCGUGCUUAACACAUGCAAGUCGAACGGAAAGGCCCUGCUUGCAGGGUGCUCGAGUGGCGAACGGGUGAGUAACACGUGGGUGAUCUGCCCCUUACUUUGGGAUAAGCCUGGUAAACUGGGUCUAAUACUGGAUAGGACCAUGCUGUAGGUGGUGUGUUGGAAAGAGUAGUUUCGGUAAGGGAUGAGAUCGCGGCCGAUCAGCUUGUUGGUGGGUUACUGGCCUACCAAGGCGUCGACGGGUAGCCGGCCUGAGAGGGUGGACGGCAAGAUCGGGACUGCGACACGGCGCAGAAUCAGACGGGAGGCAGCAGUGGGGAAAAUUGCACAAUGGGAGCACGCCUGAUGUAGCGACGCUGCGCGGGGGAUGACGCCCUUCGGGUUGUAAAGUACUUUCAGCAAUGAAGAAGCCCUUGUGGUGACGGUAGUGGUAGAAGAAGCACCGGCUAACUACGUG